rnacentral:lncRNA from 1 species
GAAACAGUAAAUUGCCACUGUAAGCGUAAAGAAGCACAUUUUGAAAUUGAGCAAUAAUGUAAUAUUUACUAGAAAUGUACUCCCGCAUUGACACUGGGGUGUAAAUCAGAAUUACAGAAAAUAUAUUGAUAGACAAUUGAUUUGACAAUUCCAUUGAUAGAUAAUUGAUUUGAGCCAGGUGUAAUAUAUCAGCAUUUAGCAAUGAAAAUUUUGUCUAUCAAAAUUUUGUUUCCUAAAUAUCAAUCUUUUUUCCUCACUUUAUCUCUUAUUCAUUUUUCAUCUUCUACUCUAUAUUUUUUUUUUUUUUGUCUUUUUUUUUUCUUUUUUUUUUUCUUUUUUUUUCUUAUCUUUCAACUUUUUCUUUCUUCUUCAUCAUUAUCUUGCCAUUCCAAUUCUUUUUCCUUUUUUUUUCUUCCUUUCUUCUUUUU